rnacentral:piRNA from 1 species
UAACUCUGGUAAAGCCACUCUAGUUGGCAU